ensembl:lncRNA
UCUGCAUCUCUUGGUUCUGGAGGUUUGGAAAACCGCCCCCGAGACUUCCGGCCAACAUAUUGCCGGUGCCACUGCCAUUGCCGUUAUUUAUAUGGUGGGUGAUGAGGGAGUCCAUUUGUAUCUGAACCUUGUUUGGAUUUACGGAAGUGGGCGAUGGCGACGCGACAGUCUCCACAUCGGCUUCAACCUCCCCCACUGGCGAGCCGCUGAUUCGUCCGGGGCUGGAGUCUGUGCUGCACGCGGGUUUGGUGGAGACUUGAGCGGUGAAAGGCUGCCUCAGCGGCAGGUGACUGAAUUUUCCUUGGGGUAGGGGCGACUCAGUGCAUCCAAACUCAGCUAGCUGAUGUAUUUUCCAGUCGUGCUGAAGGUCAAAUAUAGACUGUGUAGGGCAAAAAUGAUCUUGACCAAAAUCUGGAUUCUGGUUCAGGUGGUUGUAGUUGGAAGUGAGGGCUCCCAGCUGGUUGUUGGUUUCAUUUGGUUGCUGUAUCCCGGCUUUAUUGACUGUGUUGUUUUUACUGUACUACUUUUCCUCUGUUGGCGGGGUUCGUUGUUCGGUUGUCACCCCCACAGGCUCAUCCUGCAUGUUUUGCCGAUGCGCAGCAACUGACAGGAACAGUGGGGACAAGGCGGCGACGCUACUGUGCGAGACCAAGGGCGAGCCGGGGCGCAACUGGCGGAUGGAAACCGGAGAAGAGGAGGAGCAGAUAUUAGAGUGCGUCCGUCGAGGAUUAGAGCGGUGUCCAAUGGUCGCUGUCUGUAAUAAACCAAAACCAGGGCCAUCCCCAGUUUUUCCAGAGCAGCACUCCAGCUGGGGGUCGGAGGUCAAUGAUGAUGACAUGUGUCCCUGAGCUCCAGAUGCUCUGUGUGUUCUGGAAGAGCAGGUGCUGCGGGGAGAACACUGAAAGAUAAUGGAAAGAGUCUUUGGCCUUUGUCAUUUAUAUUCAACCUACAAAUAGAGAUGGAUUUCAAACCAGUAACUAUGUACAUUACUCUUUUGCACACCAGUAUCACUACUUACACACCAUCAUCUGCUCAUCUAUCACUCCAGUGUUAAUCUGCUAAAUUGUAAUUAUUUUGCUACUCUGGCCUAUUUAUUGCAUUACCUCCUCAUGCCAUUUGCACACACUGUAUAUAGACUUUUUUUCUAUUGUGUUAUUGACUUUAAGCUUGUUUAUUUCAUGUGUAACUCUGUGUUGUUCUUUCUGUCACACUGCUUUGCUUUAUCUUGGCCAGGUCGCAUUUGUAAAUGAGAACUUGUUCUCAAGUAGCUUACCUGGUUAAAUAAAGGUUAAAUAUAUUUUUUAAAUGUUUUAAUUACAUUGUACAUGGUGGAUGCAGCAUUGUUACUCGGGCAAGUUUUUGUCUUACAUCGACAUACAGCAGACACUUGAUGCUGGAGCUCUCACUGAAUAAUGAAUUGGGUAAUUCAAAGCUCCAGCUAUGUAUACACACACACACAUACACAUACACACACAUACACAUACACACGCACACACACCCUGCACAACAUUACGCUAAUGCCAAAGGACUGUCUUAGAUCAUUGAUGAUCAUUAUCAUGACAACUAAUAAACAUUUCAAUAAUGUUGCAUAGUAGCUGCAUACAGUGAAUAUGAGAUAUGAGAGAGACCAUGUAUUUAUUAUUGAUGUACUCUCAGCCUUUUGGGGGCCCAAAGCGAG